CUGRCASSSSCSGUAAUUYCAGCUCCAAUAGCGUAUAUUAAAGUUGUUGCAGUUAAAAAGCUCGUAGUUGAAUUUCGGGAUUUGUCAGUUGGUCGGGCUUCACUGUCCGUACUGACUUGAUGGAUUCUUACCUUCUGAAUAACCAGCAUGCUAUUAAGUUAGUGCGUUGGGGAAGCAGAUCUAUUACCUUGAAAAAAUUAGAGUGCUUAAAGCGGGCUUGUGCUUGAAUAGAUUAGCAUGGAAUAAUAAAAUAGGACGGCAUGGUUCUAUUUUGUUGGUUUCUAGGAUCACCGUAAUGAUUAAUAGGGAUAGUUGGGGGCAUUAGUAUUCAAUUGUCAGAGGUGAAAUUCUUGGAUUUAUUGAAGACUAACUUCUGCGAAAGCAUUUGCCAAGGAUGUUUUCAUUAAUCAAGAACGAAAGUUAGGGGAUCGAAGACGAUCAGAUACCGUCGUAGUCUUAACCAUAAACUAUGCCGACUAGGAAUCGGACGAUGUAUWAUUKYMUAAUGACUCGUUCGGCCCACCGGGGGAAAAAAAAAUAA
rnacentral:rRNA from 1 species